rnacentral:rRNA from 1 species
AAACUUCACACUGGGGGCAACCCCGAUGAGGGAAUUCCUAGUGCUUGGGCAUUUGUCCAAGCUUUUCCCGAGCGUAGAUAACUCGGGGAAUAAGGGCUGGGUAAGACGGGUGCCAGCCGCCGCGGUAAUACCUGCAGCCCGAGUGGUGGUCGAUUUUAUUGAGUCUAAAGCGUUCGUAGCCGGUCCGUUAAAUCCUUGGGUAAAUCGGGAAGCUCAACUUUCCGACUUCCGAGGAGACUGGCGGACUUGGGACCGGGAGAGGCCAGAGGUACUUCUGGGGUAGGGGUAAAAUCCUGUAAUCCUAGAAGGACCACCGGUGGCGACGGCGUCUGGCUAGAACGGAUCCGACGGUGAGGGACGAAGCCCUGGGUCGCAAACGGGAUUAGAUACCCCGGUAGUCCAGGGUGUAAACGCUGCCGACUUGGUGUUGGGGGCCCUUCGUGGGAACUCAGUGCCGGAGAGAAGUUGUUAAGUCGGCACUUGGGGAGUACGUCCGCAAGGAUGAAACUUAAAGGAAUU